rnacentral:lncRNA from 1 species
UUUUUUUUUUUUUUUUUUUGCUAGGAGGUGUGGGUCUGGCCCAGAGUUGCAGUUGCAGUAGUGAAUAAUGCAGCAGAGAAGGAACUGGCCGGACUGGAGGUUUUCCACCCCUAUUGGGGGUGGGUAGGGGCAGAAGUGUCCUGUUUCCUACAGACCCCACCCCCUCCGAGCGUCCUUGCACCAAAAACUGCUGCAGAUUUUGUAGUAGCCAAGCUCUGCCUUGGCACAGACUGAGAACCCAGCAUUGGCACUACUACAGACUUCAGCCACACACUGGAUUGUUCUUUUUAGUUUUGUCUCUUGAAGUCAGUGGGUGGCGGCAAGGUAUCCUCCCUUGAUCGCGCACAGAAUAUUUCCAGGAAACAAGGGAAACUGGGCUUCCCUAUACUGGGAUCCAAAGCCUUCCUUGCCUUUGAAGAGCAGGGGGCUGAGCUGAGAGAGUCUAGGUGGUGCCCAGAGUGGAGUCGGACACUGGACUUGUGCCUUAGCACCUGGCCCGAAUGCGCCCUUUACAUACAUGCAUGGGGAGGCACAGAGAGGACCCCAGCCUUGUCUCGUUGGGGUCUCCACCAGGGCUAUUGGGGGUUUCUGCCAAGGAUGGCUUGAGGCUCUGGCAGUUGCCAUUUUUGUUUUCCGGUUGGUUCAGGAAACGUGGCUGCCUCCCUGUUGUUGAUUCCUCUCGGAUGGGCCUUAUCCCCUCCCGCUCUGGAAGUGUUCCUUCCUUAUCGGUGAGCACAGAGUGGCUCAUUGAUAACCCAGUUAUCCACAGGGUCUGGGCAUCUUGACUCCCUCAUGUAUCUUGGGCAACAUGGUUAAUUUUGCCUCCCAGUCCUUCUUGUGGAAGGUCAAGGGGAGCCCACGGAACCCUGUACUCCAGGAGGUCAGUGCGAUUGACACCUGCCCACAGUGGUCCCAGCGGUCGUUGGAGGAGUCCACCGUGGGAGGCUUGCCAGCACAUUCUGGCUUCUCUUCCAAACCAUGCUUGUCUUGUGGGUCUGAGCUCCCUCCAUAUGUGCUGAGCCAGGGAACCAAGGUCCUGCAGCUCUCUGGAGGCUCUGUGCUGCUGUGCCCACAGCCCUGUGCCCACAGCCCUGUAAGGUGUUCUAGAAGGCCUCAAGUGGCAGUGGUGUAGGUGUCCAUCUGUAUUCAAGGCAGUCCUGGCUGAGGUGGUCUUUGCCGGCCUGUUAUUGCAUAUACAAAUAGGUCUUGGCAUUGGGCAGGCACUGAAUGGGCACGGGGCUACUUUUGAGAGGCUGGGUCCUGGCUGGCUCAAGUCACGGUUAGGGUAUCCUUGCUGUCACUAUAAUCCAGUUUUACAGGCGGAGCCAAUUUGCAUUGUCAGAGGUUCAGCCCCUUUUUCUUUCCCCAAAUGAGGUGAUUUUUCAGACAAAAAAAAAUUCCCUCUGGGGGUAUAGCUUAGGGGUAGAACAUUUGCUCAACACAGUAUGGGACUCUCUUGAGAGUAACACACACACACACACACACACACGUAUGUGAAGCAGAAAAGAGAAUGUUCAGCCAUAUUCUCGUAGCCCACUGCCCAUCCCCUGUCCUUCUCUCCUCUAACCUCCGUGCCCUGUGGCCCCUGUGGCUAAUUUAAGUUCCAGAAAAGCCUGUGAGUGAACGUCAGUUAUCUUUCUCACACUGGGAUUAGAAUUUUGAGCCACUCAACAUGAACAGGGUUGGAUUUCCCGUUGGUGUUUUUGUUGAUUUUGAAAGGGUGAAGUAGAGGGUGGUCUGAGCCUUUUUUUUUUUUUUAAAGACGGAGCAAGCUGUCAGUGAGAAAGUCUUUUCCAGGAGGCUUCAGGGUUCCACUAAUAAGACUGCCUUUCCUCUGGCUGCCAGCCUGGAACAAAGGUCAGAGGAGAUAACGGGCGGCUUGUGCAAGCUCUCCCCUUCCUCCCAGCCUCACUCCUGCGGAGGGGUUCCGUGACAUUCAUUGUCCACGGACUUGGGUGCUAGGUCCUCAGGGCCCCGGAAGUCCACAGGCCGGCGACCCACUCAGCAUAUCCCAUUUACCACAAAGAGCUGGCGAGGGCUGCUGUGUUCUUGGCAAACUGAGGCUUGGAGAGGUGCUGGAUAUUGCUUUGGUACUCACAGGGCCUGCUGGGGUCUGGACAGAGUCCUAGGUGUGAGCUCUGGGGGGGGGGGGGGGGGCUCUGGACAGAGUCCUAGGUGUGAGCUCCGGGGGGAGGGGCGCUUGAGUAGAAGAGUCAGUUUUUCCCAGGGAGCUUCAGCUCUCUUCUCUGGAGUGUGUGUGUGUGUGUGUGUGUGUGUGUGUGUGUUUCUCCAUUUAUCUUCCUUCCUCUACCAUCUCACCUUUCUAUACCAGGCUGGCUUCCCAUCACAGUGGUCUUCCCACCAUGACUCUGUCCCAUGCCAGACCUCUGAGGUCCUGGGACACGAACUUUGUGGCAUAUUUGUCCAUGACCGGCAUCUUUUACAAGGAAACCUAGCUCCUCCUCAAACCCGUUUUCUGUGUACACCUGCCUGUGGCAGUCACUCACAGCCAUUCCUUGAGAGUCUCUGGCAAGUCGCUGAACCUGUAAAAUGGGAACCAUGACAGAAGUCUGGGAGGAGGGAAGCAGACAUAAGCUGAAUGACAGCUUAUGAAUGCAAGCACCUUCUCUGGUCUGGAACCACCCAGUACUCUUCAGGCCCUAGAGCCUGCUGCCAACGCCUCCGGCCCCAGGGUCAAGAGAGCCCGAGGGAACUCUGUCUUCUUCCUUGAUCUGACCUGGUCUGUGACCUGGCUGACCCUCAAGGCCUGCUUCCUCAUUUGUAAUAUCCUGCUUCCACAACGGGGCCUUGAAAGAAGGGGUCUGUGACUUCUGUUUUCAUCUGGAUACUGAUGUCAUGUUGGGAAGUGCCACUUGGGAAUUGUCACCUUGGGAUGUGAGUAGGGAACCCCCUUAGCCCAUGCUUGUGAGUGGAGCUUUUGUGCCCAGCCUGUCUUCUUGUCCAGUUGAACAGAAGAAAAAUGGCUUUGUAGUCAAGAGAGAGUAGAAUGGGUAGGCUCUGGAGGUGGGACCUGGGGCAUGGUGUGGAGAGGUGCAGAGGGGCUUCGGGUGGUGCUAUGUGCAGGUGAAGCCCCUAAGUUCCGGUGACCCAGAGUUCAGUGCCUGCAAAGGAAGAUGGUCCCGAUAAAUUCUGUGGCCUCUAGAGCCAGGACGCCCCCAUUAAGAGAAGUGCUUGAUCACCUAUCUGCCUGGACACUGGUGAAGGGCUUUGCUGUGGGUAGGACUUAGAUGUCCAAGCCUUGGGUUCUGCUAGGGAAGGGUUGUCAGGAGUGGGAGGAGAGUUAGGAGUAGGGGUUGACCUCAUAGUUGUCCCUUAAAGCGGGAAGGGAAACAUUAGCUCAAGUUUAAUGAGCAUCUACACUCGGAAGUUCCCUGUGCCUUAGCGGCGAGUCAUGCCAUCUGGCUUGGGAGUGGCAGUUAUGGCGCGUCUAUCUAGUGAGUGCCCUGUAGGUAGAGCUAAGGGUAGGAACAAGAGGCUCAGGGCCUCCAGGACGGCCUCAGCUCUAGCACCGGCCACAGGAAAGAACAUGUGCUGUAGGCUCAGUCUUCUCCCAGCCCCUGUCUGCCUCCCUGGACCUCUGCUUUGUAUGUUCGGGCGGUCCUGGGCUACAGGAGGAUCAGGUCAGACGCUCGUGGGAGAUGUUUUGUCUAUAACCCAGCCCGAGCUCUGUCCCCAUUACAGAGUAGUUAGGAAGUGCACCCAAACUUACAUCAGGAUCGAGGUCUGUUGAUCUGUGCAGGGGCUGCCCUGAGGGUUUCAGAAAUGCAGGUGGCUAGUUCUCAUUUUCCUCUUGGGGACAAGGGUACGUCAAUGGAAGUCACAAGGCCUGGAAACAGGAACAAAAUCCUCUCCUACAGGGAUGGGAUUUUUAUUUCAUUUUAUUUAUUUAUUUAUUCUUAGGAUUUUGAUGGGUGUGGUGGUGCGAGCUUUUGAUCUCAGUCUGGAGGCAGAUGCAGGUGGAUCUCUGUGGGCUCAGGCCAUCCAGGGCCACAUAGUGAGACCCUGUCUUU